CUGGGAGGACCAUCUCCUAAGGCUAAAUACUCUCUAGUGACCGAUAGUGAACCAGUACCGUGAGGGAAAGGUGAAAAGCACCCCGGAAGGGGAGUGAAAUAGAACCUGAAACCGUGUGCUUACAAGUAGUCAGAGCCCGUUAAUGGGUGAUGGCGUGCCUUUUGUAGAAUGAACCGGCGAGUUACGAUUUGAUGCAAGGUUAAGCAGUAAAUGUGGAGCCGUAGCGAAAGCGAGUCUGAAUAGGGCGUUUAGUAUUUGGUCGUAGACCCGAAACCAGGUGAUCUAUCCUUGGUCAGGUUGAAGUUCAGGUAACACUGAAUGGAGGACCGAACCGACUUACGUUGAAAAGUGAGCGGAUGAACUGAGGGUAGCGGAGAAAUUCCAAUCGAACCUGGAGAUAGCUGGUUCUCUCCGAAAUAGCUUUAGGGCUAGCCUCAAGUGAUGAUUAUUGGAGGUAGAGCACUGUUUGGACGAGGGGCCCCUCUCGGGUUACCGAAUUCAGACAAACUCCGAAUGCCAAUUAAUUUAACUUGGGAGUCAGAACAUGGGUGAUAAGGUCCGUGUUCGAAAGGGAAACAGCCCAGACCACCAGCUAAGGUCCCAAAAUAUAUGUUAAGUGGAAAAGGAUGUGGCGUUGCCCAGACAACUAGGAUGUUGGCUUAGAAGCAGCCAUCAUUUAAAGAGUGCGUAAUAGCUCACUAGUCGAGUGACACUGCGCCGAAAAUGUACC
rnacentral:rRNA from 1 species